rnacentral:rRNA from 1 species
CCUACGGGAGGCAGCAGUGAGGAAUAUUGGUCAAUGGGCGCGAGCCUGAACCAGCCAAGUCGCGUGCGGGAAGACGGUCCUAUGGAUUGUAAACCUCUUUUGUCGGGGAGCAAAAGACGCCACGCGUGGCGUUCCGAGAGUACCCGAAGAAAAAGCAUCGGCUAACUCCGUGCCAGCAGCCGCGGUAAUACGGAGGAUGCGAGCGUUAUCCGGAUUUAUUGGGUUUAAAGGGUGGGCAGGCGGAAGAUCAAGUCAGCGGUAAAAUUGGGGGGCUAAACCUCGUCGAGCAGUUGAAACUGGUUUUCUUGAGUGAGUGAGAGGUAAGCGGAAUGCGUGGUGUAGCGGUGAAAUGCGUAGAUAUCAGGAAGAACACCGGUGGCGAAGGCAGCAUACCGGCGCUCAACUGACGCUCAGGCACGAAAGUGUGGGUAGCGAACAGGAUUAGAUAUCCUUGUAGUC